GGAUGUUGCUAACGAUGAAGUCUCUUGGCCCAUUUGGUUGCCUUGACCCGACCCUAAGAAGCUCUCCGAACUUGAGAACAACCGGAACAGGUGUUGCCUCUACCUCUCCGCAGUUAGUGGUAGGAUACGCAACAUUUUGCGCCGAUCCUCAUGCCAGUAGGACGAGCUUGGCCCGCUCAAUCGCGACAACCGGCCCGGCUGUUGCCUCUGCCUUGCCACGCAAGUGGA
rnacentral:misc_RNA from 1 species